rnacentral:ncRNA from 1 species
UUAAAGUUUGAUUCUUUCUUUUGUUUCUAUGUUUCUAUUGAAAUUGUAUGAGAAUAGUAGUGAGUAUUGUUUUUAGUUUAAAAUUUAAAUUGAAGUUAAUUGAAAUUGAAAAUUAAUGGGUAGUAAAGUCUCAGCAUAAAAUAUUAAAUAAUAUACUAGUGUAUGAUUUAGUAAUAGUUUAAAAUCUGAUAAAAUAUUGUGCCAGCAGUCGCGGUUAAACUUUAAGGUAAAGUAGAAAAGGUAUUGGUUUUUGUUAAAUGAGUAAAAUUAAGUAUAGAAUCUAUGAAAAUAAAGGGUGAAAUUAGGUUAUUUUUUGUAGAUAAGUUAUUAUUGGUAUUGAAGCAAGAAAUCUUCGGGGUUAAACUAGGAUUAGAUACCCUAUUAUACCGAAAGUUAAUUAUAAUUGCCAGAUUAAUAGUAGAUAUUUUCUUUAAAUUUAAAGAAUUUGGCGGUGAUUUAGUCUAGUCAGAGGAACCUGUUUUUGAAUCGAUAAACCACGAAAAAUCUUACUUAUCUUUGUUUUCAGUUUGUAUACCGUCAUUAGCAGAUAAUUUUUAAAGAAAUAAUUAUUGUGUUUUAUAAAUUUAGAAAAAUUAGAUCAUGGUGCAGCUUAUAGGUAAGUUAAAAUGGGUUACAAUAAUAUUUAUUUAUAACGAAUAAAUAAUGAAGAAAAAUUUUUAAGGUGGAUUUGAUUGUAAUAUAAGUUUAAUAUGCUUAGGAGGCAUGAGCUCUAAAUCAUGUACAUAUCGCCCGUCGCUUUCAUUAUAUAGAUGAGAUAAGUCGUAACAUAGUAGGUUUACUGGAAAGUGAAUCUAGAUUAA